rnacentral:rRNA from 1 species
UACGGAGGAUCCAAGCGUUAUCGGAAUCAUUGGGUUUAAAGGGUCCGUAGGCGGUUUAGUAAGUCAGUGGUGAAAGCCCAUCGCUCAACGGUGGAACGGCCAUUGAUACUGCUGAACUUGAAUUACUGGGAAGUAACUAGAAUAUGUAGUGUAGCGGUGAAAUGCUUAGAUAUGACAUAGAACACCUAUUGCGAAGGCAGCUAACUACGCGAAUAUUGACGCUGAGGCACGAAAGCGUGGGGAUCAAACAGG